CCUACGGGAGGUAGCAGUGAGGAAUAUUGGUCAAUGGACGAGCGUCUGAACCAGCCAAGUAGCGUGAAGGAUGACUGCCCUAUGGGUUGUAAACUUCUUUUAUAUGGGAAUAAAAUGUUCCACGUGUGGGAUUUUGUAUGUACCAUAUGAAUAAGGAUCGGCUAACUCCGUGCCAGCAGCCGCGGUAAUACGGAGGAUCCGAGCGUUAUCCGGAUUUAUUGGGUUUAAAGGGAGCGUAGGUGGAUGGUUAAGUCAGUUGUGAAAGUUUGCGGCUUAACCGUAAAAUUGCAGUUGAAACUGGGAGUCUUGAGUACAGUAGAGGUGAGCGGAAUUCGUGGUGUAGCGGUGAAAUGCUUAGAUAUCACGAAGAACUCCGAUUGCGAAGGCAGCUCACUGGACUGCAACUGACAUUGAGGCUCGAAAGUGUGGGUAUCAAACAGGAUUAGAUACCCCAGUAGUC
rnacentral:rRNA from 1 species